ACACGCAUGACACACUGCAUAUCAAUAAGCGGAGGAAAAGAAACUAACUAGGAUUCCCUUAGUAACGGCGAGUGAAGCGGGAAGAGCUCAAAUUUGAAAUCUUCAAGGUUCUACCUUGACGAAUUGUAGUUUAAAGAAGUGUUUUCUGUUGGAGUUUUGGUAAAAGUUCUUUGGAAUAGGACAUCAUAGAGGGUGAGAAUCCCGUAUUUGACCAUUUCUUCCAGCUGUGUGAUACACUUUCAAAGAGUCGGAUUGUUUGGGAAUGCAGUCCAAAAUGGGUGGUAAAUUUCAUCUAAAGCUAAAUAUUGGCGAGAGACCGAUAGCGAACAAGUACCGUGAGGGAAAGAUGAAAAGAACUUUGAAAAGAGAGUUAAACAGUACGUGAAAUUGUCAAAAGGGAAGCGUUUGACACCAGUGUUGUUUUCUCGAAAAUCAAUUAAAAAGAGCCGGAUUUUGUGUUGUUAAGACUUUAUCAGCUUACUGCACUUUUUUCUUGUUCUUUUUAAUGCACUUUUCGUUUAACAAGUCAACAUCAAUUUCUUUUGUUGUAAAAGGGUCAUUGGAAGGUGGCUUUCAUUUCGGUGAAAGUGUUUAUAGCCUUUGACCUCUGCAAUCGGAGAGAUUGAGGUCUGCAGCAUAGAUCCUUCGGGGUUAGAUACAUUUGUGCUAAGCUAUAGCCUUUUCAUAGACAACUUGUUGACUAUGAUCAAUCAUGUAGCUUACUCGCUUAUGCUAUUUUACCUACGCUUAGGAUGUUGAGCUACUGAGACAUAGA
rnacentral:rRNA from 1 species